rnacentral:rRNA from 1 species
AGUGAACGCUGGCGGUAGGCCUACACAUGCCAGUCUAACGGCUGCACAGUAAUAGCUUUCUCUUCCGGGUGGCGAGUGGCGGACGGGUGAGGAAUACAUCGGACUCUACUUUUUCGUGGGGGAUCACGUAGGGACACUUACGCUAAUACCGCAUACGCCCUACGGCUGAACGCAGGUGUUCUUCGGUCCUUGCGCGUUUCCAUGAGCUGAUGUCGGAUUAUCUAGUUGGCUGGGUAAAGGCCCACCAAGCCGACGCUCCGUCGCGGGUCUGACCGGAUGGUCAGCAACAUGGGAACUGAGACACGGUCCAAGCUCCAACGGGAGGAGCAGGUGGGGAAUAUUGGACAAUGGGGGCAAGCCGGAUCCAGCCAUACCGCGUGGGUGAAGAAGGCCUUGGGGUUGUAAAGCCCUUUUGUUGGGAAGGAAGAGGAGCAGGUUAAAACGCCGCUGUUGUGACGGUACCCAAAGAGUAAGCACCGGCUAACUUCGUG